GCUGCAGGCGCCCACCUCUUCCUCUCCCGGACCGCCGAGAUCGCUCUCCCACAACUCACACGAGUAAUGAGUGUCCUGCUCCUGCAUCGAUUCGUCUUUCCUUCCCGCAUCCACUUCACCCCCAUUGAUCUCACCGUUGUCGCUCCGCACCCGUCGUCUCGCACGAUUCGUCUCCCCUUCCUGCAUCCUCUUUGCCUCCCACACUAUAAAUCAUUGACCAUCAAUCACCAGAAACCAUGCCCGUAAUAAAGGUCACCCACCCUGUAGUUUGAUUUACUCGCUUCUCUGCCCCUUCCGGUUCCCGGCCACUGGCAGCGUCGCUGUCGUCGGACACCAAGUUCAUCAGGGGGCAGAUUUAUGGUUUCCCCUACGUUUUGUGUUGUUUCUUUGCGUAGAUCUCAAUUUUGGAUUAUUUGGUGUUCAAGUAGAGGAUUUCGUGCUCCAGGGCUCCAGGCUCCAGCAACAUGCUAACCAGCCGUUUGAUGCAGUCAAGCAGCAAGUGCAUACAACUAUUGCUCUUUGUCUCAUCCUCGGUGAUGCUGAAUUUCUGAUGGUUUUGACCCUAACCGAUUGGUUUUAUUUAUGGCUGAUGAUUGUUCGUCACAUGACGAGCAUCUAUAUCCAUGUAUGUCCAUCUUUCUUAUGCAUAUAUAAAACUGUGUUUUACUUAAUUUCACGAGUAAUUCUACGGUACUUGAGGAGAUACCAUGAGGUACCAAAAAUUUAAUGUAAAUUUUAGUACCUCAUGGUACCUCACAGUACCUAGGUACUAUGGGGUACCAAAUUUACAAUAGAAAAAAUGGUACUUCAUGGUACCUCCUCAAAGACCAUAAAAUUGCUCUAUAUUGGGAUUGACUAAUGUUCAGAUCUUUGCUCCCUGUUGUGAUUGGUGUGUUCAGGUCUUUAGUUGGACAGCCCAGGGGCCAGGGCAUUAGAAUCUAUGAUAGCUCAUGCAAUUUUGAGCAGAUAUAUGUUUAUGAUGUAAGAUACGUUCCCUUCUCAAGUAUUUUUCUUUUAACAAAUUACUAUUUAUUUGUUUGACUUUGCCUAUGGUAUGCCUAAACUUUACAAAAGCUUUCAAUAUCAGAGAUCCUUUAAGGCUUCGAUAGACAACACCGUUUCUGAUACAAUGGUUUCCCACGUACCCUUCAAGCUUUCAAUGUACUUUUUGUUUAGUUUCUUUAAUCCUAAAUAGGAAGAGUAUUUCACUUUUAAAGCAAUGAAUAAAUGUAUCAAUCUGGCAUUACUUGGUAUAUCAUCAUCUUCCCUUCCUGUUUUGGUUUUCCCUAAUCAUCUGUUCGCUAUAAAGCAUAAACGCUGAAACAAUUCUGGCUUGCUGUCGAACAAAACCUGAACCGGCUAGGCUGAUCGCUUUCUCUGGGAGCUGUUCCAUCACUCCAUAAGGAAACGGAAGCAUAGAAGUAAUUAUCUGAAGAGUCAUCACUCCAUAACUGGAUUUUAUCUUCAAGUCAACAUCUAUUCAUCACGCCAAUGGCUGCAACUCCUGUAAAUGUGAGACGAUGAAAAGAUAAGGUUGUUCAUUCUCUUGCUGUCAAACUGUUGUAUUGUGUCAACCUUCUGGUAUGUACUACAGCAAUGCAACACGUUAUUGUCCGCAUGUUCUUUUCUUGCUUAUCAGUAUUUUGGGUUUUGGACUGCAGAAAGGAGUUGAUAGGAUCCUCUGUUACUACCAGUCUCUAGCAGAUCUAUCAAUGUGAUGUUCUAUAUAAACCCCUAAUUCCCUAUCGAGUAAGCAUAAGCAUGCUGCACACUUUUUGUCAUCUAAGUUCAGGUGUAUAGCUGCAUUUGGUUCCUUAUUUCAUUUUGCCAGAAAUAGUUUUCUAUAACAUCUAUACCAAAGUUGGAGACAAUUAAGAAGAAUUUGUUGUUUCUAGAGAUGGAGUUGUAUCAGCAAAUAAAGUAAGUUAUUUUGAUCGGCCGAGGAAUUGAGUUUCUCUUCUGCAAGAAUUAGUAACACUAAUUUUGAGAACUGUUUUCAGGAGAAGAAAUAAGUGUUAACGUCUUAGAUAUUGCUAGAGAUCAACUAUCAAUGCUCACAUUAUGUUAUUGGUUGGAUGUCACAAGUAUAUUAUGCUCUAGAGAAAUUAAAUAAUUCAUGACUAUUCGAUUAUUUCAAUUGUCUUAUCACUGACACUUGGUUGCAAAGGACAAUCUAAAAAGAUAUGCUCAGGAGUCGAAAUGGGUUUGCUCGAUGUUAUUGUGACAGCAGGCGAUUGGUUCCAUGAAGCUCAUCCAUAAUAAGGGUUCAGAAAGCACUUGAAGUUUUUUACUUUGUUGCUCUCUGUACAGCAUAUCAAACUAAGAACAAUCAGCAUAUCAAACUAAGAACAAUCGUUCUUUUACUGUUUUGGUCAUAAAGCUAUCCGUAUGGGCAGUAUGUCAUAUACAUUUUAAAGUUGUCUUCGAGGAGUUAGUUUGCAUAGGUAAUCUAUGAGAAGAACAUAGCCCCUUAACUUGCUUUCAA